rnacentral:rRNA from 1 species
CAGUAGCCACGGGAACACGGAGGGUGCAAGCGUUAAUCGGAAUUACUGGGCGUAAAGCGCACGCAGGCGGUCUGACAAGUCAGAUGUGAAAUCCCCGGGCUUAACCUGGGAACUGCAUUUGUGACUGUAUAGCUAGAGUACGGCAGAGGGGGAUGGAAUUCCGCGUGUAGCAGUGAAAUGCGUAGAUAUGCGGAGGAACACCGAUGGCGAAGGCAAUCCCCUGGGCCUGUACUGACGCUCAUGCACGAAAGCGUGGGGAGCAAACAGGAUUAGAGACCCCUGUAGUCCCUGUCUCUUAUAC